UCAGGUACAGACAGGAAAUAUUCAUUUGGACAUAUACAUUGAUUAGUCGUCUGUAAUCUGAUGUAAGGUUGCAAAAUCUAAAAGAACACGUGAUGGCGAUAAGACCUUUCAGCAUUUUUUUAUUCACCAUGGUCAAUGUAUGGAAAUUCAGCAAAGGAGUGGAAACUCUUACGUGUUCAUCCUCAAGUUCUAUUCAAAUUGGUUCAACAACCACCACAACUUUCCAAUUUGGAGAUGGCAGCAAAACCUA